ensembl:snRNA Gm25390 predicted gene, 25390
GCGCUUGCUUUGGCAACACACAUACAAAAACUGGAACCACACAGAGAUUAGCAUGGACCCUGUGCAGAAAUGACAGGCAAAUCAUGAAGUAGUCUUUUUGUUU